GCGCCCGUAGCUCAGCUGGAUAGAGCAUCUGACUACGAAUCAGAAGGCCGGAGGUUCGAAUCCUUCCGGGCGCGCCA
rnacentral:tRNA from 32 species